rnacentral:rRNA from 1 species
AGCGAACGCUGGCGGCAGGCCUAACACAUGCAAGUCGAACGAACCCUUCGGGGUUAGUGGCGGACGGGCGAGUAACACGUGGGAACGUGCCUUUAGGUUCGGAAUAACUCAGGGAAACUUGUGCUAAUACCGAAUGUGCCCUUCGGGGGAAAGAUUUAUCGCCUUUAGAGCGGCCGGCGUCUUAUUAGCUAGUUGGUGAGGUAAUGGCUCAACAAGGCUACGAUCAGUAGCUGGUCUGAGAGGAUGACCAGCCACAGUGGGACUGAGACACGGCACAAACUCCUACGAGAGGCAGCAGUGGGGAAUCUUGCGCAAUGGGCGAAAGCCUGACGAAGCCAUGCCGCGUGGAUGAUGAAGGUCUUAGGAUUGUAAAAUCCUUUCACCGGUGAAGAUAAUGACUGUAGCCGGAGAAGAAGCCCCGGCUAAUUUCGUGCCAGCCGCCGCCGCGGUAA